ensembl:lncRNA novel transcript
AGAAUGCCGAUUCCUCACUCUUCAUCAUUUCUUUGGUAUAGAAGAAAAUAUAUAACGUAACCUACAUGAAUUUUUUCACUGGCCCUCUAACAUUAUAAGACAGAGCAAGUGGAGUAACUCAUCCACUGGGGAGGGCUACACUGAGGAAAAAACCCUAAAAAUUUGCAGAGGUGAUCCUUCAAGAAUUCAGCAGAAUCGUUUUCAAUGUAUGCAUGUAAGAAAACUAUGCAUGGCUGGGAGAUGAGGAGAGUUCGAGUACUGGAUUCUCAACCAGGGGAUAUUCACCACCACUCUCUCCCACCCCCACCAGUUCUUACAGUGAACACAUUUUGCACCAACUGUGCUCUCUGCCUGGGAUUGCCUUUCCCUGGAUACGUGCAUUGCUACCUUGAUCAUUGUCUUCAUGUUUUUAUCUUUCCUCCCCUGUUGCUUGAUUAGUGUGGAUCCCAACAUUUAAGGACACUGGAUGGAUUCAUCGCCUAAAUUUAGCCACCUCUCAGGUAAAUGAGAAGCAAGUUUAUGACCAAUAUUAGCCAACUGGUACCAGGCUACAUCAUUGGUUGGACUCUUGAAAAGAAAGCUUAUUGGUAGAUGAAGCUGAAAAGAUGCGAGGGUGGGAACUGCUGUGAUUACCUAGCAAACAUAACAUGACAUUCUGUGGAGAACAACGGCAUCUUUGAGAACCAACAAGAAGAUGAAAAGGGGGAGCAUGUGCUGACACAGAUGUGUACCACUCUCCAGUGAUC